rnacentral:lncRNA from 1 species
UGCAGACAGGGCCCCUCCCACCUGUUGCUCCCUCUGCAGUGAGCUCCGAAGUGGGCCGGGCUGUGUGGCUACGCUUCUCCCCACCACUGCCUGCCUCAGGCCCACAGCCUAGCUUCAUGGCACACCUGGCUGGUGCAGUGGUAGGUGUAAGCAUGGGCCUUACCAUCCUUCGAAGCUAUGAGGAGCGCCUGAGGGACCAGUGCGGCUGGUGGGUGGUGCUACUUGCCUAUGGCACCUUCCUGCUUUUCGCCAUCUUCUGGAACGUCUUUGCCUAUGACCUGCUGGGUGCCGAUAUCCCCCCUCCACCUUGACCUGCUCCUUAGGGCCGUAUGGCUUGAGCUAGGCCUUCAGUGGGUCAGCCACCAGGUGGGCCUGCAUGUCUGCCCUCUAGGAAUGGACCUCUUGGCUGCUUUUCCCCACGGGGGGACAGGGGGGCCCUGUGAUCCCCCCAGCUGAAGCCAAGUCUUACUGCAGCCCUUGCUGCCCCUCCCAGGCCUUUCCAGGGGGAGGGGUGCUGCUAGGCCAGGGCUGGGUGGAGGACCUUGAAUGUGGCCCUAGAGGAGCUCCCUUCCCUCCCCACCGACCCCUCCCAGGACUUGCAGUCUGAGCCUUUUUGGAGAAUGAAUAAAUAUUUUACACAGCACCA